rnacentral:rRNA from 1 species
AAUGAACGCUGGCGGCGUGCUUAACACAUGCAAGUCGAGCGAGGCGGAGGGGGGCAACUCCUUCCAGUCGAGCGGCGGACGGGUGAGUAACACGUGGGUAACCUGCCCGGAAGUGGGGAAUACCUCGGAGAAAUUCGAGCUAAUACCGCAUGACAUCUUCGGGACGAAAGUCCUGACGAUCAAAGCGGGGUCGCAAGAUCUCGCGCUACCGGAUGGGCCCGCGCCCGAUUAGCUAGNGGUGAGGUAACGGCUCACCAAGGCUUCGAUCGGUAACCGGCCUGAGAGGGCGAUCGGUCACACCGGAACUGAGACACGGUCCGGACUCCUACGGGAGGCAGCAGUGGGGAAUCUUGCGCAAUGGGCGAAAGCCUGACGCAGCAACGCCGCGUGGAGGAUGAAGGCCCUUGGGUUGUAAACUCCUGUCGGCUGGGAAGAAAUCGUUCGUGGCUCAUACCCACGGACGUUGACUGUACCAGCAAAGGAA